rnacentral:rRNA from 1 species
GGCGGUUUGCCGCGUCUGCUGUGAAAGCCCGGGGCUUAACUCCGGGUGUGCAGUGGGUACGGGCAGGCUAGAGUGCAGUAGGGGAGACUGGAAUUCCUGGUGUAGCGGUGAAAUGCGCAGAUAUCAGGAGGAACACCGAUGGCGAAGGCAGGUCUCUGGGCUGUUACUGACGCUGAGAAGCGAAAGCAUGGGUAGCGAACAGGAUUAGAUACCCUGGUAGUCCAUGCCGUAAACGUUGGGCACUAGGUGUGGGGGACAUUCCACGUUUUCCGCGCCGUAGCUAACGCAUUAAGUGCCCCGCCUGGGGAGUACGGCCGCAAGGCUAAAACUCAAAGGAAUUGACGGGGGCCCGCACAAGCGGCGGAGCAUGCGGAUUAAUUCGAUGCAACGCGAAGAACCUUACCAAGGCUUGACAUACACCGGACCGCUGCAGAGAUGCAGUUUCCCUUCGGGGCUGGUGUACAGGUGGUGCAUGGUUGUCGUCAGCUCGUGUCGUGAGAUGUUGGGUUAAGUCCCGCAACGAGCGCAACCCUUACCCUAUGUUGCCAGCACGUGAUGGUGGGGACUCAUGGGAGACUGCCGGGGUCAACUCGGAGGAAGGUGGGGAUGACGUCAAAUCAUCAUGCCCCUUAUGUCUUGGGCUUCACGCAUGCUACAAUGGCCGGUACAGUGGGUUGCGAUGCCGUGAGGUGGAGCUAAUCCCUAAAAGCCGGUCUCAGUUCGGAUCGAAGUCUGCAACUCGACUUCGU